ACAGGAAACAGAGGUCUAGUUGGUCCAGUUUCUGGUCACCCCAAAAUUGUAAUGAAGAGAGAAAAACUAAAGAAUUUGCUGGACACACAUCUGCCAGUCUCCUGCAUUGCAAAAUUCCUGGGUGUUUCAAGGAGAACGAUUUGCAGAAGAAUGCAAAAAUUUGGCUUAUCUGUAAGAGGAUCAUACAGCACAGUGACUGACCAAGAGCUUGACAACAUGAUUUCAGCCAUCAAAAGUCAGAUGCCAAAUACUGGUUAUCGAAUGGUUUAAGGCCAUUUGGUGUCAAUGGGACAUUGAGUCAAUGGGCAUGUAGUGGUGGGGAAUGAUGGCCUCUAUGCAUCGGGUUGAUGCUGCAGUGAUCUUCUUACGGCUCACAGAGCUAGGUUGUGUUGUGCGAAUAAGUUAUUCUGUGCGAGGCUCUCUCUCCUUGGCCCACAUUGACACAAAUCACAAACUGAUCAGAUACAACAUUGUUCUCUUUGGAGGAGUGGACGGCUACUCAAGGAAGAUCUCCACGGUAAACGGAACGAAAUCCGGCUACACUCAUCAGUGAUUCCCGGAAACGUGUAUCUCCCCAAUGGGCACAACGGUGUCCAUGUUGUCCGAUUUUCUUCUAGAGCAACGUUGUUUCCUCUUCUGCAGAGCUGAAACACUGAUGCAUGUUUCACAGAACACCAAAAUAGUCCACUUUGUCCGGAAAAUGGAACAAUUUAGCCCCUUCCCUUGUGGUAACGUGUAAUUUUGCAUGGAGGUGUGAAAUAUAGGCUGCAACAAUUACAACAGGCCUGAUUCCUUUGUUCCAGAGGGCGUUCAAGCUCCAUAGUUGCCUGUAGGCCGCAUGGUUGAGAUCUCUGUUUAAGAGAUAAUGUUUAACCCACUGCUGGUUGGUCCCAACAGUGUUGAGAACGUGGACAUUGCACACUUUAUGUUCGCCACACGGGGAACAGGAAGAGCGAGCUUUAUCUCGGGAAAGAGUGUCCACAAUCAGAGAGAGGAUGGGGAUGUGGGACUGCCCCGUCAUCCACUGGAGCACGUGUGGCACUGCAAGAGGCUCUGUGUCACCAGCUGCACUGUCUGUCUCCCCAUCUUUGAUUGAUGUAUAUUUCAAAUACCAUGAAAGAGAAGCUAUUCAAACUUACAGUAUUGUCUUAAAAAAUGUAUUAUCCAAGAAUGUGUAUAUGUGCUCAGUACAUUCAAAUGGUGUUAUGUGUAAUUGUGUAUGCACACUAUCAAGUAUAUAGUACCUGACAUUUCAACCUCCUGCAAGAAAUCUUUUAGAAAGUUGAUGAUCUUCCUCUCAGUUCUCCCCUUAGAUGUCCCUUUUUCACUUUAAUUGGGCUGGCAGUUCAUCAUAAUGAAAUCAGCAUCAGGCCAUAAAGAAACAGUGAAUGCAUAUUUGGUUAAAUAUAUUUUAAGUGUUCAAAUAUAGGCUUGUAAAGCUUAUAUAAAAUGAAAAUUCCAAUAUAUAACAAGGCAAAUGUAAGAAAAGAUUAAGUGGCAGUUAAAAUGGAUACCUUGAUAAUCUUCCCGGGAACAAACAGGGAGCGGCAAGCUUCAGGGUUUGUAGCCAUCUGGUCCACCAGGCUGUACAGUUCCGUGCCCUUUCGAAUUUGCUGCAGCAUUGGAAUCAGUCUUGUAGUAGAGUG